rnacentral:rRNA from 1 species
AUGCAGCUGCGUAUACUGUACUUGUGCAGCAGCAGUAAUGAAAUCUUGAAUUGUAUGCUUGCCUUGCCUCCUUGCUUCCAGGAUUCUUGGUCGUUUGAGUUGCUUCUCAACAAAAUUGAUAUGAUAGUAGCAUAUCUGCUUAUACAUUGUCAUGUUUGUCUGGUCCACACUUCAACUAUUAGCACAAUGCAUGGUGUGGAUGUUGCAUAUUCAAAUGGUUUCAGAGAAACCAGAAUUUGGAUGCAGAAUCCCAUUUGUGGCAAGGCUCGGAAAAGAACAAAUGAAAAUACACCGCGCAGUAGGAAUCUACGAGUAGAAAAUAAACAGACACCAUGGUUACUUUGUACAGACAAUAAAGCUUAUGGCACCACUUUCCUUCCGCAAUAA